AUACGGAGGAUGCGAGCGUUAUCCGGAUUUAUUGGGUUUAAAGGGAGCGUAGGUGGGAUAUUAAGUCAGCUGUGAAAGUUUGGGGCUCAACCUUAAAAUUGCAGUUGAUACUGGUUUCCUUGAGUACGGUACAGGUGGGCGGAAUUCGUGGUGUAGCGGUGAAAUGCUUAGAUAUCCCGAAGAACUCCGAUCGCGAAGGCAGCUCACCGGGCCGGAACUGACACUGAUGCUCGAAAGUGCGGGUAUCAAACAGGAUUAGAUACCCUGGUAGUCCGCACAGUAAACGAUGAAUACUCGCUGUUUGCGAUACACUGUAAGCGGCCAAGCGAAAGCGUUAAGUAUUCCACCUGGGGAGUACGCCGGCAACGGUGAAACUCAAAUGAAUUGGCGGGG
rnacentral:rRNA from 1 species